UACGGAGGAUGCGAGCGUUAUCCGGAUUUAUUGGGUUUAAAGGGUGCGUAGGCGGGAUGCCAAGUUAGCGGUAAAAAUGCGGUGCUCAACGCCGUCGAGCCGCUGAAACUGGCGUUCUUGAGUGGGCGAGAAGUAUGCGGAAUGCGUGGUGUAGCGGUGAAAUGCAUAGAUAUCACGCAGAACUCCGAUUGCGAAGGCAGCAUACCGGCGCCCUACUGACGCUGAGGCACGAAAGCGUGGGUAUCGAACAGG
rnacentral:rRNA from 1 species